rnacentral:hammerhead_ribozyme from 1 species
ACACUGCAGAUGAGUUCCAAACAGGACGAAACAGCCGUCCAGUGC